AUGUGAAGACGCAGCAAGAAGGCACAGUCUGCGAGCCAGAAAGUGGGCCCUCACCAGACACCGAAUUUACCAGCUCCUUGAUCUUAGAUUUUCCUGCCUGCAGAACUGCUGAAGGUCCCUGAUCUAUAUUUGACACAAUACCACGUCUUCUACUGCAAGACUUCAUAAACAGAACAAUACUGAUGAAUAUAAGUAAACAAGCUGUCCAUGACUGGUUUUAGGUCAAAGCUUAACCUCAAACUUGCUCAUCUUAAAACAGAAAUGAUGUGGCUUACAGGAGGACAAGGGGAUUCAAUAAUGAAAUACAAGAAGAUGCAGAAUAGCACAGCUACCAGGUGCUAAAGAUAGGAACAAAUCUGGAGCUAGCCCCAACAUCAAGGAAGAGGUGGCUCAUUGAACUAUGACCUUAUGCAGAAGAGAGAUUGAUAUUACAAUGAUUAAAAUGACAAGAUGAUAAAUGAAGUGAGAUUACAAAUUGUCAUAUCUACUAUCAUUGUGACAUCAAUUCUGUGGUGGGAAGCACCUCGGAAGAAUUCUGUUUCAGAACCGUGUUGCUAAGCGUGUAGGACAUUACCAGACUUGACCUCAGAGAAAAGUCAAAAGAAAAUAGUUGGUUAUCAUCAAUUGUACAGAAAGACUUCAAUUUCUGUAACUACAUGUCUUUUAACUAUUGGAGGUAAUAAUAAAUUGCUGAUACCAGUGUUCAAAGAACAAUGUUCCCUAUCAGUCAAAAUCUGAAAAGGCUUUAGUAAAAAUUGUGAAGUUUAUUCCAAAGUAUGUACAAAAAUGCGGAAGACACACGCCAGCCAAGGCACAUUUGAAGAGGAACAAAAUUGGAGGAUCACACUACCAGAUUUUGAGAUCUACUUUAAUCUUCAGUAAUUAAGGAUGAUCUGAUACUGGCAUAAGAACAGAGAAGUUGACCAAUGGAGCAGAAUAGAGAAUAUGGCAUAUACAACUACUUGCUUUUCAAGAAAGGAGCUAAUGAAGAAAGGGAAGUCUUUCUAUACCUGGUGUUGGAGCAACCAGUGACUACUAGAAAAUUCAAAAUUACAUCUGUGGCUCAUUUUUGUGGCUCACAUUAUACUUCUAUUGGACAGUGCUGCUCUAGAAGAAAAUAGAAAAAUAUCUUAAGGUCCUCAAGGGAGACAAGGAUUUCUAAUACAGGACAUAAACACACACAUACAAAUAGUAAUCAUUUAGAAAACAAAAAUAGCCACUGGGACUUCAUCAAAAUCAAAAUUUUUGCUUAUCCAAAGACGUUAUUAAGAAAGUGAAAGGGUAAACCAUAGACUAGGAGAAAAUAUUUUAUAUGCAUACCUAACAAAAGACUUGGAUACAGAAUCAAUGCAAAGCUAUAAACCAGUAAGAAAAAGAGAAGCAACAAUAAGGGGAAAAAUGAGAAAAAAACUUCCCACAAAAGAAAUAGGCAUCUCACACAGAAGUUAUCAGAAUCGUAUAUGAAAAAAUGCUUUAACAUUGUAGGUUUCAGGAAAAUGUAAAUAAAAACCACAGUGGGUCUAUGCAAACAUAGUAAACUCUUUUUGACAAUGGCACAAACUGCUUUUUGACAAAAGCAAUUCAAUGAAGAAAAGACAUCGUUAUCAACAAAUGACCUAGCAAAUGGUACUGCAACAAUUAAAUGCAGUGGUAGGUAAAACAA